AAAAGUUGACAAAAUAUGAAUCAUGAGAAAACAUAAACACAACUACAUUUGUAGAUGUCAAUAGUUAUGUAAUGCAACAAUGAUUUAUUUUAAAAUCUAUAUGGCGAUGCCAAGUUUGUACAUAUAUGUUUUAGUACUUUAAAAAAAAAUCACAAGCUUUUCAUGGGUAAUUGGGUAUUUUUAAAAGAUUAAUGGGAACAUUACAUAAUAUUAACUGGAUUUUUUUCAGAACUUUGGGAUAUCAAUUAAUUAAAUCUACAAUCUCAAGGAUUCUCUUUACAUAAGAGAAUUACGAAAAUGAUUAGUCACACAAGGAGAUCCUCGUAAAAAUGGC
rnacentral:lncRNA from 1 species